rnacentral:lncRNA from 1 species
UCAUAUGUUGUGUUUGCACUAUUUUCUAUUAAAUAUAAGUACAAAUAAUUUGGUUUUCCUAUAGUCUUCUGUGUGAAUGCUGGUUAACACAACUUCUUUCACAACAUCAACCACAUUCUUAAUUCGUCUUACUACUACAAGGAAAUGUAGGUCUCAUAUAUGGCCAGAUAAAUAUUAGAGAUGCUUCCCCAUGCUAUUACAUGCUCAGAAACACCAAGAGAAAAAGGGUUAGAAAGGGAGAGAGAAAUCGAAGAGGGAAAAGUCAGAGGGGUGAGAGAAAGUGAAAGAAAGACAGAGAUGAUAGGGAGGUAGAGAGGGGAAAGAAAGGGAGAGGGAAAGGGAGAAAGAGAAGGAUGAAAUGGAGGGAAAGUGAGAAAGACAGAGAGAGGGAGGAGGGUGGCAGCAAGGGGGUGGUGGUUUGACUUGCAAAGUAUCUAGUGUGUUGUUACUGUUGAUGUCACAGUGUCUGGUGACACCUCUGUGUGUGUGUGUCUGUGUAUCUGUCUGUGUGUGUGUCUGUGUAUCUGUCUGUGUGUGUGUCUGUCUGUGUGUCUGUGUAUUUGACUGUGUGUGUGUGUCUGUGUGUGGGUGUAUUUGACUGUGUGUGUGUAUGUGUGGGACAACUGAGAUUAAGUCUGUGUGUGUGUGUUAAUUUCGUUCGUCAGAAGCUCAGCCUCCCUGUCUGCUUUGAGAUAAAACCUGUCAUGUUGCUAUUGGCUGAACCGACUGUAGGUACACACACACCCAAACACACACAGAAUUUAGUUUUUCUAUCCCUGUCAGGACCUAAGACCUAACCCUGACCCAGAAAUCCACGUUCCUUAUUCCCUAAAUCAAAUCCAUAUGCAUUUUUCCUGGUAGGGACCUGCCAAAAACCCUUUGGGGACUGAUGUGUCAUGUUUUACUGUCUUUGUGGGAACAUUGGGCCCCUCUACCCACAGGUAAUAUUGAACAUUUAGAAGACUUCACACCUUCUGUUAGAAAGACAGAGAAUAAACAGCUCAGACUUCAUGUUGGAUUAUGCCUACUGACAUCUAACCAAGACUCCAAAGGCCAAAUCAAAGGACGGAACUGACUGCACAUGCGCAGCUCUUUUAUAUGUGAACAUUGAAAGCGUACAGGAAACUGGAUAAUGUUGAGAUGGACAGAAAGAAAAGGGGACACCCUUCACUUUUGCCUCAUUCCUAUUUGUAUGUGUCGCUCAAGAUGUGGGAUACUGAAAGCAGCCAACAGCCCUGACGUGCCACACCUGAAGACAACGAGGGCUCGUCAGGGAAGAUGAAAAUCACCCCGACAGAUGAGGAGACCGGACAGACUCACUGUACUGUUAUGUGUUUGUUUGAGCAGAAAGCGAAGGAGGUACAGCUUAAUCAGCCUGUCAGCCAAAUCAGCCAGUCAGCCUAAUCAGACAGUCAGCCAAAGGAGGAAGUCAAGGUCUGCUCUUCAUUUCUCUUUGGUUUAACCCCUGGGCAUUUUGUUUCUUUGUUACCUUGUUUCCAGGUGUUUUAUUUGUUAAAAUAAACUCCAGGGGACCACCCAGCAGCUCUGCGUUGUGUCCCUUUUUUCUCUGCCCCACUACAACAUAUGCCCAGAUUGUUGUUCAUAUGUAAGUCAGGACCUGCAGCCAUUAGGAAAGUAAAAUAUAUACUUUUAUACCUUUACGGACCUGUUUUAACCUGGACCUGUGUGUGUGUGAUAGGUUGUCUUGGCUGAUGUAACUCUCCAGCAUUGUUAGCUCACGUCAGCAAUCUGACACCUGGGAGUAUUCUAGUUUCAUCAGAAUCUUCAGGGCCAUGGGGCAUCUUACACACACACAUACAGACACACACACACACACACCCUCUACGGCAUCAUAAUGCAUUAACUAAGAGAUCAGGGGAAUCAUAU